rnacentral:rRNA from 1 species
AUGUCAUGUAAUAUAGAGUUAAUACAGAAAAUAAAGGAGAAAAAGAUUAGAAUAGAGAUACUGCCCCCAUUCGGUUGUGUCUCUUUUAUCAAGUGCUUGAUUGAUUCUUGUCCCCCCAUGUCAUUGCAAGUUGCAUCUUGCAAAACACAUCGAACAGUAAAGAAGAUUAGAAGAGUUGAAGACAUAACCCAGCUGUGCCACUCCCAGAUGACAUGCUCUACAAGCAUUCAUGAGCAGGAUGAUAUUAAGCUAGGAAAAAGAAGCACUGAAGCAGACAAGCAGUACUACACUAGUAGUCUAGUACACUACUACUACAAUCUACAGGCAUUCAAAGAGCAGCAGCUAGCAAGCAGCAAGCACAACAUCCAGCAGCUUAAUGGAAGAUCAAAUCUGAAUAAAACAGGUCAAGAAGUGGAGGAGAGGGUGCGAGUUCAGGGAUUGGAGAGGGUUACCUGCCGUCAGGAGAAGAGGCUGCUGCCUCCUGGUGUGGGGGUGUGGUGGCCGGUCGGAUCCAAGCGUCGCCGGCGGCGGCGGCGGCGAAUCCAGACAGCGGCGGCUUCGUUCCAGGAGGUGGCGGCUUCGAUCCAGAAGAGACUGGGACCUGGGAGUCCCUCGUUGUUGUGUGGAGAGCUGCGUGUGAUUCCUGCAAAAAUAGGGUUUCGUUUUGGGCCAUGGCUGUUUUUGGGCUGGGCCGUAUCCCGUCCUUGUCACGUACGUGUCCCGCCGUGUCCCUGGUUUUUUUUAAUCGAAAAUCAGGGGAUACUGGGGAUACACGUAUCCAGCCGUAUCCCGUCGUGUCAACACGGCCAAUUGGCAAUUCCUGCCGUGUCCAUGCUUUUUAGCCCAUAG